UAAAGAAUAUAUAUGCACAUAGGGUGCACAUAACUUUUUCAGUGAGUUACUCAGGUGAGUACCAGCAGAUGGUGACUGGUACUCAUCCCAUAUGUAGCGUGGUCUUAAUAAGUGCAGUCUUCCUCACUGUCCUCCUCAGUGCCGGCACCACUGUCCUCUGCUUCAGCUUCCUGCAUG